rnacentral:rRNA from 1 species
UGGGGAAUUUUGGACAAUGGGCGCAAGCCUGAUCCAGCCAUGCCGCGUGCGGGAAGAAGGCCUUCGGGUUGUAAACCGCUUUUGUCAGGGAAGAAAUCUUCUGAGUUAAUACCUCGGGAGGAUGACGGUACCUGAAGAAUAAGCACCGGCUAACUACGUGCCAGCAGCCGCGGUAAUACGUAGGGUGCAAGCGUUAAUCGGAAUUACUGGGCGUAAAGCGUGCGCAGGCGGUUUUGUAAGACAGAGGUGAAAUCCCCGGGCUCAACCUGGGAACUGCCUUUGUGACUGCAAGGCUUGAGUGCGGCAGAGGGGGGAUGGAAUUCCGCGUGUAGCAGUGAAAUGCGUAGAUAUGCGGAGGAACACCGAUGGCGAAGGCAAUCCCCUGGGCCUGCACUGACGCUCAUGCACGAAAGCGUGGGGAGCAAACAGGAUUAGAUACCCUGGUAGUCCACGCCCUAAACGAUGUCAACUGGUUGUUGGGAAGGUUCCUUCUCAGUAACGUAGCUAACGCGUGAAGUUGACCGCCUGGGGAGUACGGCCGCAAGGUUGAAACUCAAAUGAAUUGACGGGGU